UACGUAGGGUGCGAGCGUUGUCCGGAAUUAUUGGGCGUAAAGAGCUUGUAGGCGGUCUGUCGCGUCUGCUGUGAAAAUCCGGGGCUCAACCCCGGACUUGCAGUGGGUACGGGCAGACUAGAGUGUGGUAGGGGAGACUGGAAUUCCUGGUGUAGCGGUGAAAUACGCAGAUAUCAGGAAGAACACCCGUGGCGAAGGCGGCUCUCUGGGACGGUACUGACGCUGAGACGCGAAAGCGUGGGGAGCGAACAGG
rnacentral:rRNA from 1 species